AACGAACGCUGGCGGCAGGCUUAACACAUGCAAGUCGAGCGCCCCGCCAGGGGCGCGGCAGACGGGUGAGUAACGCGUGGGAACGUACCUUUUGGUUCGGAACAACUCCGGGAAACUGGAGCUAAUACCGGAUAAGCCCUAACGGGGAAAGAUUUAUCGCCGAAAGAUCGGCCCGCGUCUGAUUAGCUAGUUGGUGAGGUAACGGCUCACCAAGGCGACGAUCAGUAGCUGGUCUGAGAGGAUGAUCAGCCACACUGGGACUGAGACACGGCCCAGACUCCUACGGGAGGCAGCAGUGGGGAAUAUUGGACAAUGGGCGCAAGCCUGAUCCAGCCAUGCCGCGUGAGUGAUGAAGGCCUUAGGGUUGUAAAGCUCUUUUGUCCGGGAAGAUAAUGACUGUACCGGAAGAAUAAGCCCCGGCUAACUUCGUG
rnacentral:rRNA from 1 species